AAACCAACAGGGAUUGCCUCAGUAACGGCGAGUGAAGCGGCAACAGCUCAAAUUUGAAAUCUGGCCGCAAGGUCCGAGUUGUAAUUUGUAGAGGAUGCUUUUGGCGAGGUGACUUCCGAGUUCCCUGGAACGGGACGCCAUAGAGGGUGAGAGCCCCGUACGGUAGUGACACCGAGCCUCUGUAAAGCUCCUUCGACGAGUCGAGUAGUUUGGGAAUGCUGCUCUAAAUGGGAGGUGUAAGUCUUCUAAAGCUAAAUACCGGCCAGAGACCGAUAGCGCACAAGUAGAGUGAUCGAAAGAUGAAAAGCACUUUGAAAAGAGAGUUAAAAAGUACGUGAAAUUGUUGAAAGGGAAGCAUUUAUGACCAGACUUGGGCUUGGUUGAACAUCCGGCGUUCUCGCCGGUGCACUCUGCCAGCCUAGGCCAGCAUCAGUUCACGCCGGGUGACAAAGGUAGCGGGAAUGUGACUCCCUCCGGGGAGUGUUAUAGCCCGUUGCGCAAUGCCCUGGGGUGGACUGAGGAACGCGCUCGCUACGGAUGCUGACAAAAAAUAAACCAAAA
rnacentral:rRNA from 1 species